GUGAGGAAUUUUCCGCAAUGGGCGAAAGCCUGACGGAGCAAUGCCGCGUGAAGGAUGAAGGCCUAUGGGUUGGAAACUUCUUUUCUCAGAAAAGAAUUAUGACCGUAUCUGAGGAAUAAGCAUCGGCUAACUCUGUGCCAGCAGCCGCGGUAAGACAGAGGAUGCAAGCGUUAUCCGGAAUGAUUGGGCGUAAAGCGUCUGUAGGUUGUUUAAAAAGUAUUCUGUCAAAGAUUAGGGCUUAACCCUAGAUAGGCAGAAUAAACUUUUAAGCUAGAGUUUGGUAGAGGCAGAGGGAAUUCCCGGUGGAGCGGUGAAAUGCGUAGAUAUCGGGAGGAACACCAAAGGCGAAGGCACUCUGCUGGGCCAAUACUAACACUGAGAGACGAAAGCGAGGGGAGCAAAUGGGAUUAGAAACCCUUGUAGUCC
rnacentral:rRNA from 1 species